GGCAAAGAGAUAGGAAAAGGAAUAACAUUUCUUUACUAGUAUGUGUGUGCAUAGUCUGCCAGGCAGGGGGUGCAGGACUACAGUGUAGCAGGAAAAAUGGGAGCAGUGGCAAAGAAACAGCAGGGAGUGGGAAGGGAAGAGGCCCAGGGAUGCCAGGGUUUCCCCUGAGGCACCCCAGCAGGUGGCAAAGGGGAAUUUUUGUGAGGUAGGGUGUUUUUAAGGUCCCAGCGCAAUGACCACUCUUACCAGCAGAUCUCCACUCAUGGUAGAAGAAAGGCAGCAGGAGACGGAACCCCGCAGUGGUGGUGGAUUCUACCCAUGGCACUGCAGCCUCUCUCCUCUCCCAGUGUCCAGAGCACAAGACAGCUAGGAGCUGCACCCAACCCCUUUUCCCCAGCCCAGUCCUUGUGGUAUCUCUACCCUUCUCAGAGAAACCCCCAGCAACACAUAUGGGAGAAGAUUCCCUGAGAGAAGGAAACAAAAGGAAGAAUCCUAAGCCCCAACACAGGGCUCUGCACUUGUAGACUUCGUGGCAAUUCUGAUGAAUAUUUUGUCUGAAAGAAAACUUUUCAUUUGAUGUACGUGGCACUAUCAGUCUAACUACAUAACAACAAAACUUAUAAAAGAAUUAAAGAAUGGACUAAGCGUGAAUGGUUAGCAAUGACAUGCAAA